GGAUCGUAAAGCUCUGUUGUAAGAGAAAAACGGCACUCAUAGGGAAUGAUGAGUGAGUGAUGGUAUCUUACCAGAAAGUCACGGCUAACUACGUGCCAGCAGCCGCGGUAAUACGUAGGUGGCGAGCGUUAUCCGGAAUGAUUGGGCGUAAAGGGUGCGUAGGUGGCAGAUCAAGUCUGGAGUAAAAGGUAUGGGCUCAACCCGUACUUGCUCUGGAAACUGAUCAGCUAGAGAACAGAAGAGGACGGCGGAACUCCAUGUGUAGCGGUAAAAUGCGUAGAUAUAUGGAAGAACACCGGUGGCGAAGGCGGCCGUCUGGUCUGGAUCUGACACUGAAGCACGAAAGCGUGGGGAGCAAAUAGGAUUAGAUACCCUAGUAGUCCACGCCGUAAACGAUGAGAACUAGGUGUUGGGGAAUAACUCAGUGCCGCAGUUCACGCCAUAAGUUCUCCGCCUGUGGAGUA
rnacentral:rRNA from 1 species